CAUGUCCUUUUGAUAAUAAUUUAAGGUCUAAUCUGCUCAAUGAAAGAUUAAAUAGCCGCGGUAUUCUGACCGUGCGAAGGUAGCAUAAUAAUUAGUUUUUUAAUUGAAAGCUGGUAUGAAUGAUUGGACGAGAAAAUAGCUGUCUCUUGAAAAUUAAAAUUGAAUUUAACUUUUAGGUUAAAAGGCCUAAAUUUUGUUUAAAGACGAGAAGACCCUAUAGAGUUUAAUAUAAUAAUAAAUAAAUUAAGUUUUAGAAAUUUUUCUUUUUUAUUUUUUGUUAUAUUUGGUUGGGGUGACUUAAAGAUUUAAUAAACUCUUUAAAUUUAAAUCAUAGAUUUGUGAUUUAUAAAUCUGAAAUUUUCAAAUUUAAAAUAAAUUACCUUAGGGAUAACAGCGUAAUUUCCUUUUAGAGUUCUUAUUGAUUAGGAAGUUUGCGACCUCGAUGUUGGAUUAAAAUUAAUUUUUGGUGCAGAAGCUAAAAAAUUUGGUCUGUUCGACCAUUAAAAUUUUACAUGAUCUGAGU
rnacentral:rRNA from 1 species